AUUGGCCUGGCAAGUGGUGCCGAAUUCACCAUUCCUCACUUUUAUUUCCCUCAGUAGGGUUCUGCCACUUAAUCGGAGGGGCUUGCUUCCUUCCAGGCAAUCUCUCUGUGCAGCGUUCUGGGGCAGAGGGACUGUUCCUGGGUGAUGCACCUGGACACUUUGUCAGCUCUUGACUCCCUGGUCAGCAGUGGCCUUUGCAUCCUGCCUUCUUGGACAAGCCCUGUGGCCUGUGCCCCCCAACCCAAGGCACGUCUGAAACGCAGUGGCAUCCCCUAUACAAAGGCUUCCUGUUGCUCCCCUUUUCUCUCCUAUCUGAUUUUCAAGACUUGCUUUCUGGUACCUUUAACACCUGUAGCUCCCAGCCUGGCUCAGUUUACUUCUAGGUUCAGCUGCCUGCCAAGACACCAGGUGACAGUCGGGCCUCUCCAAAGCCGCUCCCACCAUUGUCUACAGCUGUGGGGCCCAAGAAACCCCACACGUGAGAUGCGCAGUCUGAUAUGGCCGGUUCUGCCCCUCUGGGUUUUAUGUCUUUUCAAAGUGGUUCAUUUGAAAGCUGUGGCUGUUGUCAGCUGGGUGCUGAGAGCACUGGACAAAUUCCCUGCCUGGGUUGUGUAGACAGCGUGGGGAAUGGGGGACCCCUGGACCCUGACAGUCUCACCAGGCCUAAUGAGAUGAAUGUCCGUCAGACCUGUGCUGAUGCAGCUACUUUCCCUGUGAAUUUGACCAUCGAAAUUCUUCCUACAUUUCAAUUCCCCCAAUUCUAAAAUGAGGAGGCUGUGCUAGAUACCAUCUCAGAACUCUUCCAGCUAUAAAUUGCAAACCAAUCAGGUAUUAAUCAAUUCACUCAUCCACUCUUUAUUACAUGUACCCUGAUCUGCAGAAGACAUUCUUGUGUAUAACAUUCUUGAGUUUGAUUUGUUCUUUUAAAAAAUAUGGAAUUUUCAUUUAAUUCCAAAUGUCUUUUUUCUUUUUGUUGUUGUUGUACAAUUUACUCGCAACCAAAGAAGAAAUAAAGAUAUUUUGGAGAGUUAAAAUUAUUUCUUAGCUUUAAAUAGGUGUGUGCUUUCCACAGUGACUGACAUUUCACCUGUAUUUUGAGAUAUUUGGAAAUCUUUACCUGUUUCCCCAAGGGUUAUGGAUAGCCUUGGGCUUGACUUGGUUUAGAUUCUCAGACACUGUGGUUUGGCUUGGGCUGGGGCUGGGCCCAGCCUCUCAAGGCUUUGAUUAAUCCACUGCACCUCUCAUUUUCCUGACUAUAAAAGAGAAGCUACAGUUCUGAAUAAGCAUCUUGCAGAAGAAAGGAGCCAAAGCAGAAAGUAUUAAACUUUCAUCCAGCACCGUAGGAGAGAUGUAGUUAUUAAAUUUCAGCUGCUUAUCACAAUGA